rnacentral:rRNA from 1 species
AAUAUUGUUCAAUGGGCGCAAGCCUGAACCAGCCACGUCGCGUGAAGGAAGACGGCCCUACGGGUUGUAAACUUCUUUUGUAAGGGAAUAAAGUGUAGUACGUGUACUAUUUUGCAUGUACCUUACGAAUAAGGAUCGGCUAACUCCGUGCCAGCAGCCGCGGUAAUACGGAGGAUCCGAGCGUUAUCCGGAUUUAUUGGGUUUAAAGGGUGCGCAGGCGGGAGAUUAAGUCGGCGGUGAAAUUUUGCAGCUCAACUGUAAAAGUGCCUUCGAAACUGGUUUCCUUGAGUGUGGAUGAAGUAGGCGGAAUUUGUGGUGUAGCGGUGAAAUGCAUAGAUAUCACGAGGAACUCCGAUUGCGCAGGCAGCUUACUAAGCCAUAACUGACGCUCAGGCACGAAGGCGUGGGGAUCAAACAGGA